UACGGAGGGUGCAAGCGUUAAUCGGAAUUACUGGGCGUAAAGCGCGCGUAGGCGGUUAUUUAAGUCAGAUGUGAAAGCCCCCGGGCUCAACCUGGGAAUUGCAUUUGAUACUGGAUGGCUAGAGUGUGGUAGAGGUGAGUGGAAUUUCAGGUGUAGCGGUGAAAUGCGUAGAGAUCUGAAGGAACAUCAGUGGCGAAGGCGACUCACUGGGCCAUUACUGACGCUGAGGUGCGAAAGCGUGGGUAGCAAACAGGAUUAGAUACCCCCGUAGU
rnacentral:rRNA from 1 species